CUUCUUAGAAGCAUUCUGCAAUGGACUUUUCACAUCUUCCCCAUUUUUAACUAGGUGGCAAUGGAUUUCCUUGCUGUAGUAAGAAGUCUGUGGAGGUCGUGGAAACACAUGAUGACUUUCACGACCCUGACCCCCAGCCUGAGCCUGUGGAAGAUGACAUCGAGGUAACAGAGAGUCAAUUUGUUGUUAUGGUGGGACCCUUUUUUCUGGGGACAUGUCUCCUGGGAUGGGAGGUAAUCAAAGGUAGUGUCCAUUUCCAGCUUGAAAGCUCCUCUCUCCUACUGACUGGUGGAAUCCGUGGAGAAGGGUUGACAUUCUUCCUAGACCACAGACCCUUCCUAGACCCUUUGCCCACUCUGAGAUCUUGCUGCCCAGCUCCCAGGGCCUUUCUGCCUGCUGUGUCCCCACAUGUGCAUCAUCCCUACCCUUUGGCCACUUGCCCCAAGGAGGGAACAGGAAAUGCACCAGGGCAUUAGACCAGGUAGAAGUGGUGGGGGGAUUGGUGAGCAGAUCUACCCUUGAGGUAGGGGAAGGGGAGGAGGAGGAGGAGGAGGCACUGUUGGCACACGUGUGUGUGUGUGUGUGUGUGUGUGUGUGUGUAUGUGUGUGUGUGUGUGUGUGUGUGUGUUGGGGAAGGGAGGGUGGCCCAUGGGCUCUUGCCCUCUGCAGUUGUUAGAUGACACCCUUGACCUGGAAGCAGAGCAGGAUGUAGAGUCGGAGUCGGAGCUGGAGUCCGAACUGGAACCAGAGCCUCAGCUGCUCCCAGAAUCGGAGUCAGAGCUAGAAGAUGAAGUCCCUGUCCCUGUCCCAGUCAGCGUCUUUGUUCAAACCUCCAAUCUGGCAUUCAACCUGGCCCCGAGGAACAUGCCUCCGGGACCCAGAGUUAAUGUCCAGAUCCAGACAGCUGUUGGACCAAAGGGGACGUUGGAGUUAAGCAUUUCCCAUGAGCCCCGGAGCCCGGAGCCCUUACCAGUGAAGGAUGGUCUGCACCAUACGUUCCGGUCCGUCUUUGUGCAAACCUCCAAGCACCUGUUCCAGAUGGACAAGCUGAUACAGGCGUCUGACCAUCGCCUCAAGCAGCCAUUAGGGAUAGGGCACCACCCAUUGCCAAUGCGAGACUGGCCUUUCCAGAGAUCUUUAGGAAGAACCUCCAAGGAAAGCCUGCUCUCUGGCAACAAAUUAUCCAAGAUGUUCAUGGAGGAUGUUAGAGUUCAAACCUCUCACCCAAGCCUGGGCAUUGAAGGUUUCCCACCACAGAGCCCCAUUCAAGCAUUACUACCAGAAAGGUCGCCCUCAGAAAUUCAAUUGCUAUCUUCCCGAAACUUGUCUGCUAAAUUCUCGGAGCCACUGGACUUCAGAAUGCUAGACUUUCGUCCAGCCUCUGCCAGCCUUCCCCCAGCACUGGUUUCUAGUACUGUGACCUCCUACAAUUCCUCUUCCACAGAGCUGAUACCUGAUUGCAAAGCUCUGAUUUCCUGCAAGUCUUCCCUAGGGCUGAGAAUGAGUUCCAGGUCACCCAUGACCCAAGAAUCGACCACAGACCUUUCCAUAGCAACUGAGCAGCCAGUCUCACCUUUACCCCUCCUGAAGCCACCAGAAGCAGGGGAGCCUCAGAAGUCCAUCAGCCAGGAAUUUGCCUCACUGAAGCCAGGCUAUGCUCUGAACAUGACCAAGGCAGCCUCAGAAAGAGCAUCCAUGGAAGGGGAAAUUAACCCUCUCCAGUCUCCAUCUUUAGCUCCACUGUCAUCGGGACCUUGGAAAGAGUGGUCACCAGCAGAGGACCAGGAGAUCCACAGUGAUACAGAAAUGGUACAGGUGAGGUUUCGUUCCUCCCACCACCUCCCUUUCUCCUCUGAAGAUAAUGAUGGAGCGCUUCUGUUCUCCAAACUUCUCAAGACUUCAGGCAGAGUACACCUUCCCAUACAACCUUCCUAA
ensembl:lncRNA